GAUUUCAACUGAAAAAGUCAUCAACAACAAAAUUGUAUAACUUAUCAAGAUCUAUAACUUUUACUUUGGUCAUUUUUUCAUUCGACAAAGUGAAAGUAACAUUGUUCACAAAUUUUACAUCUCUCUUAUCUGGUUUUAUAUACUGUAAGAGAGAGAUGUAAUCUUUGUAAACAAUGUUACUAUCACUUUGUCGGAUGAAGAAAUGAUCAAAAUAAAAAUCGUAUGUCUUGAUGAGCUCUACAACUUUUGUGUUCAUGACUUUUUCAGCUGAAAUU
rnacentral:pre_miRNA from 1 species